AGACUCCAGGCGCAGCUCUUGCUGUUUAUUCCGUGCUGAGGUAUCAUACUGGCUCCUGGCCAACAGCUGCAUCUCCUUCUGCAGGAAGAAGAGGCAGCUGAGAAGGGAGAAGAAGGGAAGGUGGUAUUCUCUAUGGCUGAAUGAAAAAAAAAUACCAGAAUGAAGUAUGUGCUGGUGAAGAAAGAAAGCGUAUCUAACGAAGCCCCCUUUACCAGUGAAGUCAGAUGGUCAGAACGUUAGCAGCAUUCCAUCUGAAGACACAUUCUAGUUCCUUGGUUACCAGAGGUAUAACACACACAAACGUUACAGACACAGACAUUACACAUGCUAACACUGAGUGUUACGAAUUAAAAAUA